GUUUAUGGCCAUACCACCCUGAACGCCCCUGAUCUCGUCUGAUCUUGGAAGCUAAGCAGGGUCGGGGCCUGGUUAGUACUUGGAUGGGAGAAACCCAAAUGUUAUGGUCU
ensembl:rRNA 5S_rRNA 5S ribosomal RNA